rnacentral:rRNA from 1 species
UACGUAGGGGGCAAGCGUUAUCCGGAUUUACUGGGUGUAAAGGGAGCGCAGACGGCAGUGCAAGUCUGGAGUGAAAACCCGGGGCCCAACCCCGGGAGUGCAUUUGAAACUGCCAUACUGGAGUGCCGGAGAGGUAAGUGGAAUUCCUAGUGUAGCGGUGAAAUGCGUAGAUAUUAGGAGGAACACCAGUGGCGAAGGCGGCUUACUGGACGGUAACUGACGCUGAGGCUCGAAAGCGUGGGGAGCAAACAGG